rnacentral:tRNA from 1 species
CGGGGCGUAGCUCAGCCUGGUUAGAGUACUUGACUGGGGGUCAAGGGGUCGUGAGUUCGAAUCUCGCCGCCCCGACCG